rnacentral:rRNA from 1 species
AUUGAACGCUGGCGGCAGGCCUAACACAUGCAAGUCGAGCGGAGCGGCGGGCGGGUGAGUAAUGCUUAGGAAUCUGCCUAUUAGUGGGGGACAACAUCUCGAAAGGGAUGCUAAUACCGCAUACUAAUAGAUGUGUCUAAGGCGGAUUAGCUAGUUGGUGGGGUAAAGGUCUACCCAGGCGACGAUCUGUAGCGGGUCUGAGAGGAUGAUCCGCCGCACUGGGACUGAGACACGGCCCAGACUCCUACGGGUAGCAGCAGGGGGGAAUAGUGGACAAUGGGGGGAACCCUGAUCCAGCCAGGCGGCGUGUUUGAAGAAGGCCUUAUGGUUGUAAAGCAAUUUAAGCGGGGAGGCGUUACUCGCAGAAUAAGCACCGGCUAACUAUGUGCCAGCAGCCGCGGUAAUAC